UUUCCGUAGGUGAACCUGCGGAAGGAUCAUUAUUGAAUGAACUUGGUAGUGGUUGUAGCUGGCUCUCUCGAGAGCAUGUGCACACCCGCCAUCUUUAUCUUUCCACCUGUGCACUUCUUGUAGACUUUGGGAUUUGAAAACUUAUCCGGGGCAACUCGGUCGGGAGGGGCUGCUGUAGCAAUACGGCUCUCCUUGACAAGUCUUCAAAGUCUAUGUUUUUCAUAUACCCCAUAGUAUGUAACAGAAUGUAUACAAAUGAGCCUUAGUGCUUAUAAAACUUAUACAACUUUCAACAACGGAUCUCUUGGCUCUC
rnacentral:misc_RNA from 1 species